AAUAAAUUUUUUAUGAUUUAUAUAAUUUUUUUUAAAUUUAUUUUACAUAUAAAUUUUAGUAUAUAAUUUUAAUUAUUUUAAUAAUAAUUAAUUUUUUUAAGUAGUAAUUAAUAUUAAAAAUUUAAGAAAUUAAGAUUUAGUAAUAUAAAAAUUAAUAACAAAUUUUGUGCCAGCAGUUGCGGUUAUACAAAAAUUAAAUUAAAUUUUAUUAGAUAUUAAUAAAUAAUUUAAAAAUUAAUUUAAAUAUGAAAUUAUUAGGUGAAAUUUUAAUUUAAUUAAAAAUUAAAAUUUAAUUAUGAAUUAAUAAAUUUUAUUAUAAACUAGGAUUAGAUACCCUAUUAUUAAAAAUUUAAAUAAAUAUUCUAAAAUAGUAGAUAAUUAUUUAUUGAAACUUAAAUAAUUUGGCGGUAUUUUAGUUCAUUUAGAGGAAUCUGUUUAUUAAUUGAUAAUCCACGAAUAAUUUUACUUAAUUAACAAUUUUGUAUAUCGUUGUUAAAAAAAUAUUUUUAAAAAAUUUUAAUAUUUAAAAAUUUAGAAUUGAAAUUAAAUCAGAUCAAGAUGCAGAUUAUAAUUAAGAAUAUAAUGGAUUACAAUAAAUUUAUUUAUAUGAAUAUUUUAUUGAAAAAUUAAAUUGAAAGUGGAUUUAAAUGUAAUUUUAUUUAGUUUAAUAAAAUGAUUAAAAAUUAAAAUAUGUACAUAUUGCCCGUCGCUUUCAUUUAUAAGUUGAAAUAAGUCGUAACAAAGUAGAGGUACUGGAAAGUGUUUCUAGAAAGAA
rnacentral:ncRNA from 1 species